rnacentral:tRNA from 1 species
GUAGAUAUAAGUUAAACUUAAACUAUUAGUUUUCAAAACUAAAAAUUUUUCUAUA